ACCAGCCGCAGCAAGGAGUGACUCCCUACGGGCACCCUUCACACUUCUGAAUCGGGAAGACAACCUGCAGUUUUGUGUUUGCACUGAAAAGUAGAAAAUCAGAGUUAAUGUGUCAGUCAUCCUGAGAAUGUCCCUUUGGUCUUUAAUUUCUUUGGUUUCUUAUAUUUUAUAUUUCAUAUGGAGGUGUUUAAACAAAAAGCAAAGGAGAAGUUGUGCUUUGCAUUCAGCAUUGAAGGAGGUUUGGCAGUGUGGCUGAUGGCUCAGGCAGACCUCCUCCCCGCGGAUGGUGGCAGCAGACCUUUGAAAUUGGUGCUUUUUCUUUUUUUUUAAAGUCUUCUAGGUACAGAAAGAAUGAAUUAUGGUGGGUUUAAAUAUUUAUGGGUUCAUUAAUGAUUGUUUUGCUCUUUUGCAACUGUGCUGGACCAACUUCUGACUUGAAAGGCAGAUCAGGUCUUGACAGGAAGCAACCCAUUCAUUCUGCAUUCACCUGUGAUGGGCAACUGGACAUUAAUCUGCGUCAUUAUAAUUUGAAAUAUUUGUAAUUUCAUGAGCACUUUAUAAACUUUCUUAUUUGUGUAGGACUUUGCUUUGCUUUUGUUGUGGUCAAAGGUGCUGAACCAGGUUGUUGCUUAGUGAUUUCUACAAUCAUGACUUCCAUGGGAGCCUCUUGGAAGUUGCUGCACCUGACUUUGUUUUCAGUGGUGAGAGCAUGGACCAGAGUCUUCAGGAAGGUACAAUAUGUCAACCUUAAACACCUGGAAGGACCACCGUGGAAUCGUUCCUGUAUUUACUGCCAGUUUUGGGAAAAUGACUGUCCAGAUUUGGUUCUCUAGAGCUUUAUGUCACCUAGAGUGAAAAUCUCGCAGCUGGAUAGAGAGUCCACAGAGCUCAGACUUGACAUGGUUUCCAGAGACCCUGGCCCCAAAGUCCAGAAGGCUCUGGUUUUCAUAAAAGGUGUAUUUGCUGUUAAUUUUGUAUGGUAAGUAUUUGCUACUUUGAAUUUAAUUAUUAAUGUUGGUGUCAGUCUUGGUUGUGUAUUGCAUAUACUGUAUUUAUAAACUGGUGCAAAAAGCACAAGUAAAUUAUACAUUAAAU
rnacentral:lncRNA from 1 species